AUUGAACGCUGGCGGCAGGCCUAACACAUGCAAGUCGAACGAGUGGCGGACGGGUGAGUAAUGUCUGGGCAACUGCCCGAUGGAGGGGGAUAACUACUGGAAACGUUAGCUACUCCCGCAUACCAUCGGCUCGGCCCAUAUGUGAGUGGCUCGGUGGUGGGGUAAUGGCUCACCUAGGAGACGAUCCCUAGCUGGGUUGAGAGGAGGAUCAGCCACCUGGGAAGUGAGACACGGUCCAGACUCCUACGGGAGGAAGCAGUGGGGAAUAGUGCACAAUGGGCGCAAGCCUGAUACAGCCAUGGCGCGUGUAUGAAGAAGGCCUGCGGGUUGUAAAGUACGUUCAGCGGGGAGGCGGUAGACGAAGAAGAAGCACCGGCUAACUACGUGCCAGCAGCCGCGGUAAUAG
rnacentral:rRNA from 1 species